rnacentral:rRNA from 1 species
GAACUCAGAUCAAGUAAAGAUUUAAUGGAUGAACAAUCCAUUUUUUUAAGCUUCUGCGCUUAAUAAAAACUUUUAUCCAACAUCGAGGUCUUAAACUUUUAUUUUAAUAAGUUCUCUUAAAAAAUAUAAAGCUGUUAUCCCUAGAGUAUUUAGUCAAUUUUUCUUUAUAAAAAGUUCUUUUAUAAAUUUUUUUAUUUUUAUUUUAUUAAUUUUAUUUCCCCAAUUAAAUGAAAAUUUUCAUUAAAAUUUAGGGUCUUUUUGUCUUGGAAUAAAUAUUGUUAUUUUCAACAAUUUUAUAAUUUAUAUUUUUUAUAAAAUAAAUUUUUAGUUAGUCCCUUCAUACAAGUUACCAAUUAAGUAGCUAAUGAUUUCGCUACCUUAGUGUUAUUAACAGCAAUUUAAAAAA